GGUAAUGGAGCUUCAGUGUUUGCCCUCCAUCUGUCUGACUUAGUAGUAUUAAUCGAUCCUUGGUGGAGCAUUAAACUAUGUGUAAUUAUCAAUAGGAGCUGUGUGUGAAGCCAUAUGUCAACAUACUAAAUGGUGAUGAUGCGGACUUAACACCACGAUCAGGGAGCUGUGCCUCCAGUAGAAGCGGAGAUGUACCAGCGCGCGACCCACUGCUGUGCAACCUUACCUUGAAGCUCAGGUGAGGGUCUGUCAGCUGUCAAUCAACAGUACUUCAACAACCAUGAACUCGGACAUGGAAGACUCCGUCCAGAGCAGCGGUCAUCGCCUCUUCAUACAUGUGGAUUACUGCUAUGUGUGACCGGACUACAGCCAGCUGUUCACGGACUUGAAGCUGGCUGUGUUGUCGAGGUUCCCUGCAGCAGAUGUCUCCGGGACCUACUCCGUUAAAGAUUCCUUUGAAAUCUUCUCUAAUGGGAAUCUAAUAUUCUCCAAGCUCGACACAGGGAGCAUGCCACAGAUCAAGCAGGUGAUGGAUGAGAUUGCUGUAGAUUGUCAAGGGGAAUCCAACAAAUAUGGAAAGAAGUCUUCGUUGUGUGCAAUUUUGUAACAUUACCUGCAUCCGAUUCUUGCCUGUGGUAAUUCUUACACGUGGUUGUUCAUUUACAUGUCAACAAUGAAUAAAAGAAAACCAACUAUAGACAUCCCACAUCGACCAUCGAUUUCCAGAGACUGAAAUGCCGUAGGUGCGAUGAUGUCAGAGGAUCAUUGUUGGUCCAAAUUGGUGGAUACUGAUUAAGAAAUCAUCAUGUCUGGAACCGUAUGUCAUUUUCACACAUGACAGAUGUCUGUACCAUCAUCACUGGGGAUGUUUCGUGCUGCUGUGCUGGUCUAGAUGAAGGAGCAUCUCUAAAUGCGUGGCUGAGAUGAUCUUGACUGGGGACUUAUUCACAGCACCAGGAAACAUUUGGCCUUCAUUCAUGUCUCAUAAGGAUUUUUUUUCCGAAGUAGAUUCCAUCGUGUUCAUCAGCUCUUUACUUAAGAUAUAUAAGGAAAGGUGGAUAUGUAUCAGGGGGGAUUUCAUUUUAUUCUCCUGUAAGUUCACAAGGGUCCAUCACCGAUUUUUGUGUGAGUUGUCUUCAUUCCUCGAGACUUUUUUCAGGACUAAUGUGAUGUUCGGCAGCUCUUUAUUUACAGGACGACCUCAAUCUGUCGCUGGUGGGAUAAUGCACGGGUUAUUGUAUUUACCCUCUUGUCCAUUAAAUCAUAUUAGGCAACAAUCCGUACCUUAACUAUAGGCGUGUUGUCUUAAUAUCAACAGAAAUCGAAUUAGUGAUUACCUUCAUUUGGUGUACGAUCAUGGUGUACUUUACAAACUACCUUCAUUACAAAUAAAAUCAUCUACAAACACAUUUCACUGAAAUGAGAACUUCUAAAUCUCUGGCUACUUAAACUUGGAGAGAGCGGAUUUCAAGACUGAAAUAAUAGAUCAUUUUCAGCAAAUGACACUCCCUAUCAGAAAGCAAGGCUUAUUGGUAUUU